GUGCUCAUUUCAGCAGCACAUAUUCCAAAAUUGUAAUGAUACAGAGAAGAUUAGCAUGGCCCUUGUGUGAGGAUCACACACAAAUCUGUGAAGAGUUUUGUAUUUUU
rnacentral:snRNA from 1 species